CCUACGGGUGGCUGCAGUGGGGAAUAUUGGACAAUGGGGGGAACCCUGAUCCAGCCAUGCCGCGUGUGUGAAGAAGGCCCUCGGGUUGUAAAGCACUUUCAGUGAGGAAGAACGCCUGGUGGUUAAUACCCAUCAGGAAAGACAUCACUCACAGAAGAAGCACCGGCUAACUCCGUGCCAGCAGCCGCGGUAAUACGGAGGGUGCGAGCGUUAAUCGGAAUUACUGGGCGUAAAGCGCGCGUAGGUGGCUUGAUAAGCCGGUUGUGAAAGCCCCGGGCGCAACCUGGGAACGGCAUCCGGAACUGUCAAGCUAGAGUGCAGGAGAGGAAGGUAGAAUUCCCGGUGUAGCGGUGAAAUGCGUAGAGAUCGGGAGGAAUACCAGUGGCGAAGGCGGCCUUCUGGACUGACACUGACACUGAGGUGCGAAAGCGUGGGUAGCAAACAGGAUUAGAUACCCUGGUAGUC
rnacentral:rRNA from 1 species